GGGUGGUUAGCUCAGCUGGGAGAGCAUCGCCCUUACAAGGCGAGGGUCACAGGUUCGAUCCCUGUACCACCCA
rfam:Oleiphilus sp. HI0069 HI0069_c103, whole genome shotgun sequence.